UACGAGGGGGGCAAAUGUUGUUCGGAAUCACUGGGCGUAAAGGGAGCGUAGGCGGGUUUCUAAGUCAGGUGUUUAAUCCGGGGGCCCAACCCCGGACAGGCACUUGAAACUGGGAAUCUUGAAUAGUGGAGAGGUCAGUGGAAUUGGGGGUGUAGCGGUGGAAUGCGUAGAGAUCCCCAAGAACACCAGUUGCGAAGGCGGCUGACUGGACACAUAUUGACGCUGAGGCUCGAAAGCAUGGGGAGCAAACAGG
rnacentral:rRNA from 1 species